rnacentral:rRNA from 1 species
UACGUAGGGUGCAAGCGUUAAUCGGAAUUACUGGGCGUAAAGCGUGCGCAGGCGGUUAUGUAAGACAGAUGUGAAAGCCCCGGGCUUAACCUGGGAAUGGCAUUGAGGACUGUGGAGCUCGAGUGCGGCAGAGGGAGGUGGAAUUCCACGUGUAGCAGUGAAAUGCGUAGAGAUGUGGAGGAACACCGAUGGCGAAGGCAGCCUCCUGGGCCGACACUGACGCUCAUGCACGAAAGCGUGGGGAGCAAACAGG